rnacentral:lncRNA from 1 species
AUCUACAUUCAACAAUCUUCCACUUACGAUUGUUUCUUUUAUGGAAAUUAAGACUCAAUGUUCUCUAAUAAAUGCUCAAGACAGAAAGAGAAAGAUCAAAGACUGAACUCUUUUUUUGACCAAUCAAAUCUUAGAUAAAAUGUAGAAGUAUUCGUUCGAAGAAUUCUAACAAAUAAUAUAAUUUCAAUAAUUUACCAUAAUGUCAAAUUGCAGAAAAGAUCACGUUUCA